ACUACACGAAGCUGGAAUCGCUAGUAAUCGCGAAUCAGAAUGUCGCGGUGAAUACGUUCCCGGGUCUUGUACACACCGCCCGUCACACCAUGGGAGUCGGGAAUGCCCGAAGUCAGUGACCCAACCUUUGGAGGGAGCUGCCGAAGGCAGGUCUGAUAACUGGGGUGAAGUCGUAACAAGGUAGC
rnacentral:rRNA from 1 species